GGGGGAUAACACUGAGAAAUUGGUACUAAUACCCCAUAACAUCAUGAGAGGCAUCUUUUAUGGUUGAAAAUUCCGAUGGUUAGAGAUGGGCAUGCGUUGUAUUAGCUAGUUGGUGGGGUAACGGCUCACCAAGGCGACGAUACAUAGGGGGACUGAGAGGUUAACCCCCCACACUGGUACUGAGACACGGACCAGACUCCUACGGGAGGCAGCAGUGAGGAAUAUUGGUCAAUGGACGCAAGUCUGAACCAGCCAUGCCGCGUGCAGGAUGACGGCUCUAUGAGUUGUAAACUGCUUUUGUACGAGGGUAAACGCAGAUACGUGUAUCUGUCUGAAAGUAUCGUACGAAUAAGGAUCGGCUAACUCCGUGCCAGCAGCCGCGGUAAUACGGAGGAUUCAAGCGUUAUCCGGAUUUAUUGGGUUUAAAGGGUGCGUAGGCGGUUUGAUAAGUUAGAGGUGAAAUUUCGGGGCUCAACCCUGAACGUGCCUCUAAUACUGUUGAGCUAGAGAGUAGUUGCGGUAGGCGGAAUGUAUGGUGUAGCGGUGAAAUGCUUAGAGAUCAUACAGAACACCGAUUGCGAAGGCAGCUUACCAAACUAUAUCUGACGUUGAGGCACGAAAGCGUGGGGAGCAAACAGGAUUAGAUACCCUGGUAGUCCACGCAGUAAACGAUGAUAACUCGUUGUCGGCGAUACACAGUCGGUGACUAAGCGAAAGCGAUAAGUUAUCCACCUGGGGAGUACGUUCGCAAGAAUGAAACUCAAAGGAAUUGACGGGGGCCCGCACAAGCGGAGGAACAUGUGGUUUAAUUCGAUGAUACGCGAGGAACCUUACCCGGGCUUGAAAGUUAGCGACGAUUCUUGAAAGAGGAUUUCCCUUCGGGGCGCGAAACUAGGUGCUGCAUGGUUGUCGUCAGCUCGUGCCGUGAGGUGUCGGGUUAAGUCCCAUAACGAGCGCAACCCCUACCGUUAGUUGCCAUCAGGUCAAGCUGGGCACUCUGGCGGGACUGCCGGUGUAAGCCGAGAGGAAGGUGGGGAUGACGUCAAAUCAGCACGGCCCUUACGUCCGGGGCUACACACGUGUUACAAUGGGGGGUACAGAAGGCAGCUACCUGGUGACAGGAUGCUAAUCCCAAAAACCUCUCUCAGUUCGGAUCGAAGUCUGCAACCCGACUUCGUGAAGCUGGAUUCGCUAGUAAUCGCGCAUCAGCC
rnacentral:rRNA from 1 species